rnacentral:rRNA from 1 species
UACGUAGGGGGCAAGCGUUGUCCGGAUUUAUUGGGCGUAAAGCGCUCGCAGGUGGUUCGUCGCGUCGUGCGUGAAAGCCCCCGGCUCAACUGGGGAGGGUCAUUCGAUACUGAUCGACUCGAAGGCAGGAGAGGGUAGUGGAAUUCCCGGUGUAGUGGUGAAAUGCGUAGAUAUCGGGAGGAACACCAGUGGCGAAGGCGACUACCUGGCCUGUUCUUGACGCUGAGGCGCGAAAGCUAGGGGAGCAAACGGG